UACGAAGGGGGCGAGCGUUGUUCGGAUUUACUGGGCGUAAAGGGCGCGCAGGCGGCUCAUUUUGUCAGGCGUGAAAGCCCCGGGCUUAACCUGGGAACUGCGUUUGAUACGGAUGGGCUAGAGUUCGGGAGAGGAGAGUGGAAUUCCCAGUGUAGAGGUGAAAUUCGUAGAUAUUAGGAAGAACACCAGUGGCGAAGGCGGCUCACUGGCCCGGUACUGACGCUGAGGCGCGAAAGCGUGGGGAGCAAACAGG
rnacentral:rRNA from 1 species